UAGAUACCCAGGUAGUCCACGCCCUAAACGAUGCGAACUGGAUGUUGGGUACAUUACGGUACUCAGUGUCGAAGCUAACGCGUUAAGUUCGCCGCCUGGGGAGUACGGUCGCAAGACUGAAACUCAAAGGAAUUGACGGGGGCCCGCACAAGCGGUGGAGUAUGUGGUUUAAUUCGAUGCAACGCGAAGAACCUUACCUGGCCUUGACAUCUGUCGAAUCCUGCAGAGAUGCGGGAGUGCCGCAAGGAACGACAAGACAGGUGCUGCAUGGCUGUCGUCAGCUCGUGUCGUGAGAUGUUGGGUUAAGUCCCGCAACGAGCGCAACCCUUGUCCCUAGUUGCCAGCACGUAAUGGUGGGAACUCUAGGGAGACUGCCGGUGACAAACCGGAGGAAGGUGGGGAUGACGUCAAGUCCUCAUGGCCCUUACGGCCAGGGCUACACACGUACUACAAUGGUCGGUACAGAGGGUUGCGAAGCCGCGAGGCGAAGCCAAUCCCAGAAAACCGAUCCCAGUCCGGAUUGGAGU
rnacentral:rRNA from 1 species